rnacentral:lncRNA from 1 species
ACAGAUAGGCACGGGUGACACUGCCCGGUGCACACAGAGGGGUGCACACACGCGCCCAGACCAGGGCAUCUCAUACAGGGGCGGGAGCCUGCGCCUUGGUGUCAAUGUCCCCUUCUGCAGAGUGCUGAUGGACUCGGUGGACGUCCCCAGGAGCACUUAACCUUCUCCUAACCCCACUUCAACCGCCACCGGGGCCAGAAUUCGUGUCUCCCUUUCUCCCUUGAGAUCCCGGAUCUGCUUCUUUCUAGCUCAGAGGUGGCGAGGCUAGCGUGACCCAGGCGCUGGCGACGAGCCCCGCUUACCUCGGUCCGGAGGCCGCCUGGGGAGCUCGAUGCGCGGCCAGGCGAGGAGCAGAGUGGCAGACGCUGGCACAAGCUCCUGUGUCCCGGGGCGCAGACGUCUGGGUCGCUCCUACGGCAGCAGAUCUGACCCACAGGGCCGUGGCAAACCCCGUUGCCUGUCUGCGCCUGGCUCCGCCACCAGAGCCGAGGGCUUCGCAGCGUCCUGAACAGGACCAAUCCUGAGCGGGGGGUUGGCUCUGGGGAGCAGGGAAAGGAGACUGGAUGGUCACUGCGACGGGAAGCCGGCCUGGACCUGGCAGGCUGGUUUCUAUGGCAGCCAGGAGGGAGGAGCGGAAGAGAGGGGAGUGUGUAGUUGUGUGGCAAGGGGACACCCACUGCAGACUUUCCGGGAGGGGGUUUGGGCCUAGAGUGACGAUGGGAAGCAGAGACACAGCAGAAAGCGACUCAACUUAACACCUUGCCGGAACAGCCCCUGCGCGCUCUCAUUCCUUCCUUCCGCGACACUAUCCUGUAAUCCUUCCAACAGAGCAGAGACUUCCAGCAAAGCACCGCGACAGCUCCUCCGGUGUUGGGGAUUGAACCACAGCCUUUGUGUAUGCUGGGAAGACGACUUACCACCGAGGCAUACUAGACAACUUUAACAUCAUUUUUCUUUUUUAGACAGUCUCUCUUAUGUAGUUCUGGCUGUCCUGGAACUUGGUAUGUAGAGCAAGUUGGCUUCCAAUCCAGAGAUCCUCCUGCUUCUAAGUACUAGGAUUAAAGGUUAAUGUACCUCACACCCACCUCACACUUACUUUUUGAGUGUGAGUGUGUGUCUGUAGCGGGCAGGGCAGGACUUGUCAUAUAUACUAGCUGGCCACAAACUCUUAUGGUCAUUCUUUUGAAUGUGCCUUUGCCUCUCCAGUGCGGAGAUUGUGGGCAUGUGCCACAACAGGAGGCUUUCCUGUUUCUUUUUUUAAAAAUACAGUCUCACUAUGUUCCCCAGGCUUGGCCUCCCAAGUGCUACAACUACAGGCAUGAGCCACAUGCCUGACUUAACUCACACAGCCUUAGAAAGGGGAACACUCAACCUAAGUCAGAUUUGGGAGUCGUGUGGAAAUAUAGAACUAGCCUUUCCCUAAGCUUCCCCCCACCCCCCCUUUUUACCACGUAAAUGUAUCAGUCCACAUUUUAAGUGAUGCAGUAGAAAGGUAAAGACACGGAGGGAGCCACACAACCAUAAUCUCAGCAUUAGGAGAAGCUGGGUCGGAUAGAUUCUGAGUUUGAGACAGAUUUGGGCAACACAGCAAGAUGCUCUCACAAAGCAAAAUGCAUGGGGGCAUGGUGGUGAGUGCCUUAAAUCCAAUACCAGAGUGGCUGAGAUGGUAAGUUCAGGCCAAUCAGUGCCACACCAUGAGACAGUCUCUAACAAAACCAAAGUAAAAUACAAAAAGCAAAUAACCUGUUUUGAAUGUUUUCAAUAAAGUAAGUGCAAAAGCCCUGGGAACCCGCUGAGAGUGAGCGAACGCCACGACAACUGUAGCAGCGCACCCCAGUCAGAGCACAGGAGGAAGGCUGACUACGACUCCCAGAUCUCUGGCUUUUCGUGCCACCUUGUAUCAAGAGCCUGGGAUUUCAAAUGAAGUCUGGAGUGGUCAUGCUGGGAAAGACUAUGAAUUUAGGGCUUUUGGGUUUUGUUUGCAAAGUAACACAAAGCCCUGGGUUUAACCCUUAAUACCACAUAAAUUCGGUGUGAUGAUGUACAACCAUAACUCAGUACUUGAGAGGUGGAGGCAUGUCAAGGUCACUGUGGACAAUAUAUUUAUUAAAUUCAAGGCCACCUGGGCCACAUGAAACUGUCUCAAAAAAAAAAAAAAAAAAAAAGAGAGGCUAGAGAGAUGGUUCAGCAGCUGCUCUUCCGGAAGACCCAGGUUUGAUUUCUAGCACACACGUGGCAGCUCACAACAACCUAUUUUAGCUCAGGGGACCUGCUGCCCUCUAGCCUCUGUGUGUACACAUGCAGGCAAAAACACCUGCACAUAUUCAAUUAUGAAAUCAAAGAAACAAACAAAAAUCCAAGAGGUUAAGAGAGAAAUUUAAAAGAAAUUCAAAGUGGAGCAGAGAUGCCCAAGAGAUAAUUAUUAUAUGGACAAUUCUGGACUCAAAUACAAUGGAUUGAUAUAUAGAUAAAGGGGUUGUUUUUGGUGGCAAUGAAUACUUCCAAGAUGGAACAAAAUUCUCAGUGUGUUAUAUAAUUACAAAGCCCUGAGAACACAGUAGUGAGGAAACAAGUUAACAACAAUGUUAACAGUAGAAACAGAAAGAAAUGGGACUGACAAACAAUGCCAAGGAAAAUGAGAGCAGUCAGAGGCACAAUGGGAUCAGGAGCCAGGCUCACCCAGGAUGGAGAGGUUAACAAGAAGCACGACAGUGUGAACAGCAGAGAAUUCUCUCAGUGAAGCCUGGGGGUGGGGCUGAGGAUGAGGCUCAACGGCAGAAUGCUUCUCUGGCAUGCACAAGGCCCCCAGGCUCAGUUCUCAGAAACAGAUACGUGUAUUCACUUUUUUCUUUUUAAUUUUUACAAUGUUUAUUUUUAUUUCACGUGCACCGUGUUUUGCCUGCACAUAUACCCUGGAACAGGCAGGUGUGAGCUGCCAUGUGGGACAUGCUGGAGACUGAACCAGGAGCUCAGUAAGAGCAACCAGUACUUUUAACCACUGAGUCACCUCUCUAGCCCACAAACUCUUUCUUUUUUAUUUAUUUAUUUUUUUUAAAAGUGUGUGUAUGUGUGUGUGUGUACUGGACAAGAUUCCUAAUCAAAAAGGAAUCACCAUUUGUUGGCUUCCUUCGGCAGAAGGUGGCAGGGAAGGAGGACAGGGUGAGUUAACAAAGAUGGACAUGAUUCUGGUAGACAUGUGAAGUUAGAAGAUUCAGGACCGGUCUUUGAAGAAAAGCAAGCUGCUGGAGACGAGGCAACAGGAGUGAUGCUAAUGCUAAUGUGGAAGUAGGGUGUAAGGAUCUUGACUGUGACAGCAAAUAUCUGAAGAAGCAAUUAGAAAGAUACGUCAGACAAGAAGCAAAGUCAAUUAAGAUUUGAGACCAUUUUCUCCAGCACUGUUCCCUCCUUAGGAGUAAAGAGAUGCAAUGAUUCCAAGAUGGAGGCUGUUCUUAAAUACAAGUAGGAUCCCUGUAUGCAAGAACAAGGUUAAGAUGGGAAUCAGAACUAUGAUAAUGAACGGAAAGGGAUGAAGGAGCUGAACGCUAUGGAGGUAGAGGGACGAGAGCUGUCGAGGGCUGGGGAUUCAAAGGCAGCAUAGUGUUUGCAGAACAGGACCAAGACUUCAGGUGUCACUGCUCUGGUGAGGAAGAGGUUCUGGACAAUGCCAAAAUACUCAGUAAACGGACACAAGUUACCAAGUUACAUGCUCUUCUACCAAUAAGCACAGCUGUGUAGAGAUGCCACAUGAGGGAAAAAUUAGCUAGCACCUACAUCUAGAAUUGAUGUUGAUAUGGGAACUUUUUAAUUCAAGAAACUUUGAGAAAUAUGCUCAACAAAAUGGUUAUGUUUUAUUUGUGUGUGAUCUUCAUUACCAAUGAAAUUGAUAAGCACAAACUGUUAGAGCCUUUUGGAAAGGCAAUGUGGAGGGCUUGGGAACAUGACUCAGUACAGAGCCAGCCAUGUAAGCAUGAAGAUCUGAGUCGGAUCCACCUAAGAACCCAGUGUGGUAGCACAGCAGCAGCUCCAGCUCUGGGGUAAUGUGUUGGUAGGAUGAACACAGGUAGCUCCCUGGAGCCAGCCAGUAGGUGAGCUUCAGGGUCAAUGAGACUCUUGUCUCAAAAAUAAGGUGAAGGGGGCUGGAGAGAUGGCUCAGCGGUUAAGUGCACUGACUGCUCUUCCGAAGGUCCUGAGUUCAAAUCCCAGCAACCACAUGGUGGCUCACAACCAUCUGUAAUGGGAUCGAACGCCCUCUUCUGGUGUGUCUGAAGACAGCUGCAGUGUACUUACAUAUAAUAAUAAAUAAAUCUUUUAAAAAAAAGGUGAAGAGACACACCUGAAGUUGACCUCAGGUUUGGGCACACACAAAUACAAAGGAGGAGGAAGGAGGGAAUAAAAACCAACCUGGUAUUUGCCAUGAUUUCUUUAACUUGGCAAUUAUUUUUGUAAAAACUAAACGUCACAGGCCAGAAAAUGGCUCAGGACUGGCUGCUAAGACUGGUGGACUUGAUUUCAACUCCUGGAACCCAGACAGUGGACAGAACCAACUCCUGCAAGUUGUUCUCUAGCUUGCAUACUCGUGGUGAUGGCAAGUGAGCGCGCACAGACACAUAAAAUGAGCUUUUAAAAGUGUAUCACAGGAGCAUGUGUAAAAAGAUGCUUACAAGGCCACACUUGGCAAUCUCUAGCAAAAACUUAGAGCUACAACCACAUACACCUGCUAAUAGGAGUUUACUGUCACAGUUAAGUGGUUAAUUUAAAAGAUUGUACGCAGAGUAUCACUGCACAUGCCUGUAAUUCCAGCACUUGGGAGGCUGAAGCAAAAGGAUCAGUUGAGCUACUUAAUGAAAAUUUGCCUCAAAAAACAAAAACAAAACCCCCUAGUACUAGACAGGCAUGGUAGCACAUGUCUUUAAUCACAGCACUCAGGAAGCAGAGACUGGAGGAUCUCUGAGUUUGAGGCCAGCCUAAUCUAUAAAGUGGAUUCCAAGACAACCAAGGGCUACACAGAGAAACCCCAUCUCUGAAAACCAACCAACCAAAGAGAGUCUAAAAUUAAAUGAUAUACCAUUUGUUCA